AUGUCAUCAUUACCAAGGUUUUUUUCGUCUUGGAGCACAAAUCUUUGGUUAUGUUCUAAUGGCUUCAUCACCAAGAUGAUUAUGUCCCUCUCAACCUGAGCGAUGUUGUGGCAUCCGAUUUAUAUCCUGUUGACCAGGGGACAACAACAGAGAAGAGUAUAGGAUCUACUCCACAUUGGACAUGGCAGGUUUUUGGUCCACAUGCAACUUUUAACUUCUCUACUGCUGCAGAAUCAUCAGUAUUGUGGCAAAGUGUAACGAACAAAGGCAAUGAUU
rnacentral:lncRNA from 1 species